rnacentral:tRNA from 1 species
GCGGCGUCGGCCAGUUGGUGGGCGAAAUGGCUGGCGCGGUCUGCUUCCGAGGUCUCGACCAUCACGCGCAGCAGCGGUUCGGUUCCGCUCGCCCGCACCA